UGCCCCGUAGCUCAGUGGCAGUAGCGACCCCUUGCGGGUAUCUGCGAAGCAGCGCGCCUGUUAAGCGAACGGUCGCAGGUUCAAUCCCUGCCGGGGCAGCCA
rnacentral:tRNA from 1 species